CCCGAUCCCAGGUUUGGGGCAGCCUGGGGCGCUAAUCAGAUCCCCCAGUUUGGGGAAGCCUGGGGCGCUAAUCAGAUCCCCCAAUCUGGGGAAGCCUGGGGCGCCAACCCAAUCCCCGGUUUGGGGAAGCCUGGGGCGCCAACCGGAUCCCCAGUUUGGGGCAGCCUGGGGUGCCAGUUAAGGACACGCUAGCUGCUAUAACAAGCUGGCCUCCACAUUUCAGUGGCUUCGCACACCCGGAGUUUGUUUUCCGCUCAGUAGCACCAAGCAGGCGUAAGGUGGGUGGCUUUUCCAGCAGGGGGACUCAGGGACCAGGCUGUUCCUGUCUGUGGCUGCGCCACCCACCAGCCGCCCUCUGCUCCCAGCUGGCAGGUACGGCAGAGCCAGGAGGGGCAGGUAUGGGAGGCUUUUACGAGCAGCCAGGCUUCCACCUGCACUCAGUCACAUGGCCGCACCUGACUGCAAGGGAUGCUGGGAGAGGUGGAAGGAGGAAGAGGAAAGGGGGUGGUGGACAGCCAGCCGAUCGCCCCCGCACACGGAGGCCCCGAGAUUGCCUGCGCGACACCGUUAGGCAUCCCCGGGCGGACGAACACGCCAACCUCACUGCAGCGCCCCCUGCGCCACGCUGCCGGGAAUUGCGCAGCCUGGGAAGCCCACUCCUCCCCUCGCUCAGCGAACCUCGGCUGCAGCGCCUGAGAAGACGUGCGUCCCGCCCCCCAACCCCCCACCCACGCGGGGCGGGGGGGGGGGGGCUUUCCGUGUCCCUGGAACCAACAGACCCGGGAAGAAACUGCAGAACGGGGGAGCGGUGUCAGAAAUGCACCCAGCGCCCCCGUGCCGCAGGGAGUCGCCUCAGAGCGGCGGCUCAAGGCCCACAGCGGAGGAGGCCCCUCGAGAAAGAUCUCCACGAAGCUCGAGAAAGAUCUGCCCGCGGCUCCGCCCCUCACCGCUGCCGGCCCGGCCCGCCUCUCCGCAGGAACCGGGUUCUCUGCGCUGCAGCUUUCGUGCAGCGCUCCCUCCCCUGGGCUGGCCGCCCCGGCGCACGGGGACCCGGCCACCAAGGUGACGUUAAGCGGCAGAAAUUGGUGCUCCCGGAGUUCUGUGAGCUGCUUCUGGAUGACCAGCGAAAGGCACGUGUCUGAGAAGGGGUACGUGAGCCUGAGCAGAGGAGAUCGGGUUCCAUCCGAGGAGGCACAGACCCUCUUCAGCAGCUGAAAGACCGACUCAGAACCCGCAGUCUGGCUUACGGCGCCCGUCAGCCCAGACGACCGUGGGAUACAGGGCACCAGAAACACUGCAGGAAUGCUCACAACCAAGCGAAGUGGGACGCCAGGCGCCCCGCCGGAGCAGAUGUGAAGUGUGGGCGCGGCAGAGUCCGCGAGGGCAGCGCCGAGGGCCCACGCCGCUCGUCAGGGCGCCGGAGCGUUUGGGGCCUUGGCCAACGCCGCGGGAGCGACGGCACCUGCCGGGCCGUGGGUGCCGGGAACAGGGAGAAGCCAACUACCGAAGACAGCGACAGUGUGCGAGGACCCGCGCCACCUACCGAAGCGCCUGGGGCCGGCAGCGGCCGCCGCGCGUCGCAUACGGGCGGUGCUGGAGGGGACGAGGACACCGGACCUGCACACACUUGCCGAGUCUCACGGGAAUCCACCACUCGGACCACUUUUUAUUGAUGAACAGGUACACACCUUAAAAGCCUCACACUGAAGCCGGACACACGCGCCCACCGCGGACAACGGAUGUGCAGACACGUGACGCAGCGCGACCCCUGGCGGCUCGCCGCGUCUGGGCCCCUGGGGCCUGUCCCUCUGGUGGGGACAUGGCCCCUGCCCCGGGGCUCUCAGUCCGUCUCCAGGACAUCCCUCCGCUCUGCUCGCCCGGCUACAGCUGCGUGUCUCGGGUAGGUCCCCCGCGGAUCUGCGUCAGCAGGGGCGGAAGCCUGACUAGGAUAGGGUGCGGGUUCGUUAAAACCAAAACCCAAACCCAAACAGCUCACGGGUGAACGGAAAGGCGUAGAAGCCGGGAGGGAAACACCGGCUCUCCUCAGCGUGCAGGCAGGCUUGGAGGAGAGCCUCGGGCUUUGUCAAGGACCGCUUCCUCCGGAGUCCCGCAAAACAGGUACAGACCGGGCGAGUUUAAGGCGAGUCCCCACGGAGGGGAGCUGUUUGCUUUCUGAUGGAAGUUUAAGCUCUGCACCAAAGGUCCUACUGGAUCGCUUGGGACGUGGGUGGAAAAACAAACAUGAACGAUACAAAAAAUAAAGCUGUUGCCGUCCUGAAUACUCUGCGAGGGACUGAGGCUCGGGGGUCCCGGGGCUCUGCCUCGGGGUCCCCUCACGUCCUCCGUGCCGCCCGUGUCUCUCUGCGAGUGUCUGUGGCCAUUCCCGCCCCCCUCCACCCCCGGCAGCGGCAUCCGGCCGCACGGCGUACCCGGCCGCCGCGAGACUUCUCACCGAAGUGCCGCUAGGACACUCCUGAUGUGGCUGGAACAAAAAAAAACAUCAGUUCCGAGGCCCUCACGCACUCGGGACCUGGAAAAUAAAGCCAAAACAGGAGGGCAACGAAGGACCACACGGGAGUGAUUGUUCUUUGGAUCAAGACAUUCUCCAAAAUGCAAUACAUUCAUAAUUCAUGACAAGCCCCAGGGGACAAGGGUCCCGAGGCCGCUCUCCCCUCAUCCCUGAAACCUCGGAUUCUGGAAAGCAGCUCGCCGGCUGCACGCAGCCGUUACCUGUUAGGUCGCCGCAACACCGCCCAUCUUAAGCACACGCGCGCGCACACACACACGCAGAGCUGCCGACAGGGUCGAAGCGGCCUCUUCGGGGCAGUGGGCGCGUGCCGAAGGCCACCUUCACCGUUCGGUGCACAGAUCGUUUGCAAACUCAGUGCAAAGUAUCGGAGCUCAUCGAGACCAAAGUGUUUUCUGUGUCAGGGCCCCUCCUCGAUCAAGGGCGUGCACUAAUGAAUCCCAGGGCCGACAGGAACGCCCCGAAACCGUUAAGCUGGAGAAUUCUCAUUCACUGGAUUGACUUUUUUUUUUUUUUCUC